GGUUAAAAAGCUCGUAGUUGGAUCUCGGCGGACUGAGGGCGGUUUGCUUGCUAGUAUUACUGCCCUAUAGUCCGUAGUUUUGCCAGAGGUUUCGGGGUGCUCUUAAUCGAGUGUCCCGGGAUGCUGGCAGGUUUACUUUGAAAAAAUUAGAGUGCUCAAAGCAGGCUAUUACGCCUGAAUAUUCGUGCAUGGAAUAAUAGAAUAGGAAGUCGUUUCUAUUUUGUUGGUUUUCGGAAAUCGACUUAAUGAUUAAUAGGGACAGUCGGGGGCAUUUGUAUUCAAACGACAGAGGUGAAAUUCUUGGACCGUUUGAAGACAAACUACUGCGAAAGCAUUUGCCAAGAAUGUCUUCAUUAAUCAAGAACGAAAGUUAAAGGUUCGAAGGCGAUUAGAUACCGCCCUAGUUUUAACCAUAAACGAUGCCAGCUAGCGAUCUGCGGACGUUUUUUUU
rnacentral:rRNA from 1 species